AUGGAUGUGUCAUUGCAGUUCUUACGAGAACAGAGUUCUCUUCGUCUUAUCGAACUCACAACCACGGCGUCCUACUUCUCGUCUGAUUCAUCUUCUCUGGUCUUUGAUUCCAAGUCUGCUAUGAUUUAUCUUGGACUUGCCCCCGUCUUCAACAAACUCAGCCGCAAUACCUUCAUGCUAAGAUACGUUGGCCGCGAAUCCAUCAUCCCAACAAUCGACCUUCGUUUCCUUCAUAAUACUCUUCAACCUCUCUGUCUCAAUCUGUCAUCAUUCUUCAUCCUCACCAACUCUCAAUUUCGGGUGAUAUCAAUACCUCACGAUUGUUCGAUACAUCUUCACUUGUGA